rnacentral:rRNA from 1 species
GACGAACGCUGGCGGCGUGCUUAACACAUGCAAGCCGUACGGUAAGGCCCUUUCGGGGGUACACGAGUGGCGAACGGGUGAGUAACACGUGAGUAACCUGCCCACAACUUUGGGAUAACGCUAGGAAACUGGUGCUAAUACUGGAUAUGUGCUCCUGCUGCAUGGUGGGGGUUGGAAAGCUCCGGCGGUUGUGGAUGGACUCGCGGCCUAUCAGCUUGUUGGUGGGGUAGUGGCCUACCAAGGCGGCGACGGGUAGCCGGCCUGAGAGGGUGACCGGCCACAUUGGGACUGAGAUACGGCCCAGACUCCUACGGGAGGCAGCAGUGGGGAAUAUUGCACAAUGGGCGCAAGCCUGAUGCAGCAACGCCGCGUGCGGGAUGACGGCCUUCGGGUUGUAAACCGCUUUCAGCAGGGACGAAGCUUUUUGUGACGGUACCUGCAGAAGAAGCACCGGCUAACUACGUG